rnacentral:rRNA from 1 species
AGGCGGUUAUUUCUGCGGUGGAUUUGCCUCUUCCUAUUCCGAAUACAGAAGAAAAACCCGAAAGGGCCGAUGUAGUUGUAAUACGAUCUAGGAGAAGUAGAAGGUCGCCCAUUU